rnacentral:sRNA from 1 species
UUAUCAACAAAAUUUACGCGUUGUGGUC